AUUGAACGCUGGCGGCAUGCCUUACACAUGCAAGUCGAACGGUAACGCGGGGCAACCUGGCGACGAGUGGCGAACGGGUGAGUAAUGCAUCGGAACGUGCCCAGUAGUGGGGGAUAGCCCAGCGAAAGCCGGAUUAAUACCGCAUACGACCUACGGGUGAAAGCGGGGGACCGUAAGGCCUCGCGCUAUUGGAGCGGCCGAUGUCAGAUUAGGUUGUUGGUGGGGUAAAGGCCUACCAAGCCGACGACCUGUAGCUGGUCUGAGAGGACGACCAGCCACACUGGGACUGAGACACGGCCCAGACUCCUACGGGAGGCAGCAGUGGGGAAUUUUGGACAAUGGGGGCAACCCUGAUCCAGCCAUGCCGCGUGCGGGAAGAAGGCCUUCGGGUUGUAAACCGCUUUUGUCAGGGAAGAAACGCUCUGGGCUAAUACCCUGGGGUAAUGACGGUACCUGAAGAAUAAGCACCGGCUAACUACGUGCCAGCCGCCGCAGUAA
rnacentral:rRNA from 1 species